GAGCGGUAUGCAUUGCGCGUGUGUAAGCGAGUUUGGCGGCGACGGCCGCGGCGGUCGUCGGCGUCGGCUCCCUUCCCGCUCACGAGCGCGUAUUGGUGGCGGUGAUAGCGCGCACUUCUCGACGUCCAGGUACAUAAAAAGAUAAGUGUAUUAUAAUGAGUUUCAAAGUAUCAUGGGAUGAAGUUGAUCAAUACAACUAUACAAGACUAGUUUUGAAAAUACAGAUCAUUAGGAAUUAAGGUUGAAGAUAGUCAAAAAACACUUAUUGUAUUAUCAGAGAUCCGUGUACUUCAAGUCAAAAAACAAUAUAAAUAUUUGGCAUCUCAACAUAAUAUGUAAUUAUGAUUUGAUUUUUAUUAGUUAAGUUAGAAUUUUACUAUGAACAAAUAUUUUAAUUCUUAAAUCUUACAAUUGACACAAUUAUAAAUGGGUUAAGCUGUUUUAUUUAAAAUUACACUCACUUAUGUCUUAGUAUAUUAAUUAGGAACAACUUAUUGCGAUAAACACUGGUUUUUUUUUUAUUAUAACAUAUUUUUGUAUUAAUUUGAUUUCAUUAUAGGUCAAUUAUUUUAAAUAUUUAAUAAAUAAUGUAUAUAUAUUAAACAAUAUUUUUUAGUAUAGAUAGUUUUGGUAUUAACAUUGUGAUAUCUGUAAAAUUGAAAUAGUUGUUAAGAAAUGUUAAUAUUUAAAUUAAAAUAUUUAAUAUUUUUAUUUUGUAAAAUCUAUAUAUAUUUAUAAUUAAUCAAUUACAGUUAUUGACGUAUUAAGUAUAGAAGAGUAGAGUUGGUUGUUGUUGAAUUUUAUCUUUAAAUGAAUCUUUAGACAUAAUCAGUUUAUUUGAGUUAGAUAUGUAUUUAGUAAGUUAGAGAUUAUCAUCAACAAGAAUAGUGAUUAGGUUUAAUAGAUUGAAUAAUUAUGGGAUAGUUCCAAUAUCUUUAAGAUUUUUUUCAGUUCUUAUAAAAUAUCAAAUAGUUUUAAGUGUUUUUACAUGUAGGUACUGUAAAGUAUUUCCUUUAUUUUAGCUGUAGCAUAAAAAAUAUGAUUUUAAUUAUUAUUUUACCAUUAAACUAUCUACUUGAAUUUUUUUUUUAUAUGAUAUUAAAUAUCUAUUGCAAGUGUUUUUCCUUUUAUUAAAAGGUAUUAUGUUUUCGAUCAUAAUUCAAUAAAAAUACCAAGUGUAAAAUUUGAAUAGAUUCAUACAAAAUUUUGUUAAAAUGCAGGAAAUAUUAACAAAUAAAUUAACUAUGCUAACAACCAAUUAGA